UCUAGAGGAAGCGAGAAGUGGAACUGGCAUUACACAUGGCACGAGACAAGAUAGUUGGAUAUAAAGAGGGAAGAAAAAAGAAAGAGGGAAACAGUUCAGGACAAGCACGAUGCAUUUGCGAGAAUCAAGAAAACUGUUCCACAGUUGGAGACAAACAAAACCCGUCAAGGAGUGUAGGGUGACGUUGAAGAGAAGACAGCUGUGCCACACCAUCGCAGGGCUUUGUGAGAGCCUAAAGGCUUGAAAACACUAUCCUGGAAUAUAGCUUUGGUUUCUAAUAUGUUGAUACUGUGUUUAUAUAAUAU